rnacentral:rRNA from 1 species
AUUGAACGCUGGCGGAAGGCUUAACACAUGCAAGUCGAACGAGUGGCGGACGGGUGAGUAAUGCUUGGGAAUCUAGCUUAUGGAGGGGGAUAACUAAGGGAAACGGUAGCUAAUACCGCGUACCAUAGGAUGAGCCAAAGUGGGAUUAGGUAGUUGGUGAGGUAAAGGCUCACCAAGCCGACGAUCUCUAGCUGGCCUGAGAGGAUGAACAGCCACACUGGGACUGAGACACGGCCCAGACUCCUACGGGAGGCAGCAGUGGGGAAUAUUGCGCAAUGGGGGCAACCUGACGCAGCCAUGCCGCUUGAAUGAAGAAUGCCUUCGGGUUGUAAAGUUCUUUCGGUAGCGAGGCGUUAACUACAGACGACGCACCGGCUAACUCCGUGCCAGCAGCCGCGGUAGUAC